rnacentral:rRNA from 1 species
UACACUCCUACGGGAGGCAGCAGUGGGGAAUUUUGGACAAUGGGCGAAAGCCUGAUCCAGCAAUGCCGCGUGAGUGAAGAAGGCCUUCGGGUUGUAAAGCUCUUUUGUCAGGGAAGAAACGGUGAAAGCUAAUAUCUUUUGCUAAUGACGGUACCUGAAGAAUAAGCACCGGCUAACUACGUGCCAGCAGCCGCGGUAAUACGUAGGGUGCAAGCGUUAAUCGGAAUUACUGGGCGUAAAGCGUGCGCAGGCGGUUUUGUAAGUCUGAUGUGAAAUCCCCGGGCUCAACCUGGGAAUUGCAUUGGAGACUGCAAGGCUAGAAUCUGGCAGAGGGGGGUAGAAUUCCACGUGUAGCAGUGAAAUGCGUAGAUAUGUGGAGGAACACCGAUGGCGAAGGCAGCCCCCUGGGUCAAGAUUGACGCUCAUGCACGAAAGCGUGGGGAGCAAACAGGAUUAGAUACCCCUGUAGUCCCAU